rnacentral:rRNA from 1 species
CUACGGGAGGCAGCAGUGGGGAUAUUGCACAAUGGGGAAACCCUGAUGCAGCGACGCCGCGUGAGCGAAGAAGGCCUUCGGGUCGUAAAGCUCUGUCCUAGGGAAGAAUAAUUCACGGUACCUUAGGAGGAAGCCCCGGCUAACUACGUGCCAGCAGCCGCGGUAAUACGUAGGGGGC